rnacentral:rRNA from 1 species
AGCGUUAUUCGGAAUUAUUGGGCGUAAAGCGUCUGUAGGUGGUAAGGAAAGUGUAAUGUUAAAGAUCAGGGCUCAACCCUGGGAAAGCAUUGCAAACUAUCUUACUUGAGUUCGGUAGGGGCAGAGAGAAUUCCCAGUGUAGCGGUGAAAUGCGUAGAUAUUGGGAGGAAGACCAGUGGCGAAGGCGUUCUGCUGGGCCGUAACUGACACUCAGAGACGAAAGCUAAGGUAGCAAAUAGGAUUAGAUACCCUAGUAGUCUUAGCUGUAAACGAUGCACACUAUGUUUUGCAAUUUGCAGAGCAAUAGCUAACGCGUUAAGUGUGCCGCCUGGGGAGUACAUUCGCAAGGAUGAAACUCAAAGGAAUUGACGGGGACCCGCACAAGCGGUGGAGCAUGUGGUUUAAUUCGAUGCAACGCGAAGAACCUUACCAAGAAUUGACAUGCUGCGAACGUUUACGAAAGUAAAAAGUCUAUUAACUUAGUUAAUAGCGCAGACACAGGUGGUGCAUGGUUGUCGUCAGCUCGUGCCGUGAGGUGUUAGGUUAAGUCCUGCAACGAGCGCAACCCUUGUCUUUAGUUAUAUUCUAGAGAGACUGCCGGUGAUAAACCGGAGGAAGGUGAGGAUGACGUCAAAUCAGCAUGCCCCUUACAUCUUGGGCGACUCACGUGCUACAAUGGUCGGGACAAAGAGAUGCUACCCUGCGAAGGCAAGCUAACCUCAAAAACCCGAUCUCAGUUCGGAUUGCAGGCUGCAC